rnacentral:misc_RNA from 1 species
GAUGAAGAACGCAGCGAAAUGUGAUAAGUAGUGUGAAUUGCAGAAUUCAGUGAAUCAUCGAAUCUUUGAACGCACAUUGCGCCCUUUGGUAUUCCUUAGGGCAUGCCUGUUCGAGCGUCAUUUAAACCUUCAAGCUAAGCUUGGUGUUGGGUGACUGUCCGCUUCACUGCGGACUCGCCUCAAAAUUAUUGGCGGCCGGUACAUUGGCUUCGAGCGCAGCAGAAACGCGAACUCGGGCCCGUCGUAUUGGCUCCCAGAAGCUAUCUUCACAAUUUUGACCUCGGAUCAGGCAGGGAUACCCGCUGAACUUAAGCAUAUCAAUAAGCGGAGGA